GAUGAACGCUGGCGGCGUGCCUAAUACAUGCAAGUCGAGCGAACAGACGCGGUGCUUGCUCCUCUGACGUUAGCGGCGGACGGGUGAGUAACACGUGGAUAACCUACCUAUAAGACUGGGAUAACUUCGGGAAACCGGCGCUAAUACCGGAUAAUAUAUUGACCCGCAUUGUUCAACAGUGAAAGACGGUUUUGCUGUCCCUUAUAGAUCGAUCCGCGCCGCAUUAGCUAGUUGGUAAGGUAACGGCUUACCAAGGCAACGAUGCGUAGCCGACCUGAGAGGGUGAUCGGCCACACUUGAACAGAGACACGGGCCAGACUCCUACGGGAGGCAGCAGUAGGGAAUCUUCCGCAAUGGGCGAAAGCCUGACGGAGCAAGGCCGCGUGGGUUAUGAAGGUCCUACGAUCGUAAAACCCUGGUAUCAGGGGCUGAUAUAAACGUAAUGAAAGGCACUGUCCGGGACGGUACCUAAGCAGAAAGGCCCGGCUAACCACCUG
rnacentral:rRNA from 1 species